AUUGAACGCUGGCGGCAGGCCUAACACAUGCAAGUCGAGCGGAUGAAGGGAGCUUGCUCCUGGAUUCAGCGGCGGACGGGUGAGUAAUGCCUAGGAAUCUGCCUGGUAGUGGGGGAUAACGUCCGGAAACGGGCGCUAAUACCGCAUACGUCCUGAGGGAGAAAGUGGGGGAUCUUCGGACCUCACGCUAUCAGAUGAGCCUAGGUCGGAUUAGCUAGUUGGUGGGGUAAAGGCCUACCAAGGCGACGAUCCGUAACUGGUCUGAGAGGAUGAUCAGUCACCCUGGAACUGAGACACGGUCCAGACUCCUACGGGAGGCAGCAGUGGGGAAUAUUGGACAAUGGGCGAAAGCCUGAUCCAGCCAUGCCGCGUGUGUGAAGAAGGUCUUCGGAUUGUAAAGCACUUUAAGUUGGGAGGAAGGGCAGUAAGUUAAUACCUUGCUGUUUUGACGUUACCAACAGAAUAAGCACCGGCUAACUUCGU
rnacentral:rRNA from 1 species